CACAUACACGUGGACAGUCACGCGCACAGCGACACUCUUGCACACACACGUGGACAGGCACAUGCACAGCGACACUCUUGCACGCGGACACACACGUGGACAGGCACACACACAGCGACGCUCUUGGAGAGCACAUACAUACAUGUGGACAGGCACACGCACAGCGACACUCUUGGAGAGCACAUACACGUGGACAGGCACACGCACAGCGACACUCUUGCACACACACGUG
rnacentral:lncRNA from 1 species